rnacentral:tRNA from 1 species
GGGCGCAUAGCUCAACUGGUUCAGAGCACCUGCCUUACAAGCAGGGGUCCGCGGUUCGAACCCGUGUGCGCCCACCA